rnacentral:rRNA from 1 species
AUUGAACUCUGGCGGCAGGCUUAACACAUGCAAGUCGAGCGAGCGGCGGACGGGUGAGUAAUGUCUGGGAAACUUCCUGAUGGAGGGGGAUAACUACUGGAAACGGUAGCUAAUACCGCAUACCAUCAGAUGUGCCCAGCGGGGAUUAGCUAGUAGGUGGGGUAAUGUCUCACCUAGGCGACGAUCCCUAGCUGGUCUGUGAGGCUGACCAGCCACACUGGAACUGAGACACGGUCCAGACUCCUACGGGAGGCAGCAGUGGGGAAUAUUGCACAAUGGGCGCAAGCCUGAUGCAGCGAUGCCGCGUGUGUGAAGAAGGCAUUCGGGUUGUAAAGCACUGUCAGCGAGGAGGCGUUACUCGCAGAAGAAGCACCGGCUAACUCCGUGCCAGCAGCCGCGGUAAUUC